CCUACGGGAGGCAGCAGUGGGGAAUAUUGGGCAAUGGGCGCAAGCCUGACCCAGCAACGCCGCGUGAAGGAAGAAGGCUUUCGGGUUGUAAACUUCUUUUUUCAGGGACGAAGCAAGUGACGGUACCUGAGGAAUAAGCCUAGGCUAACUACGUGCCAGCAGCAGCGUUAAUACGUAGGCGGCAAGCGUUCUCCGGAUUUACUGGGUGUAAAGGGCGUGUAGGCGGGAAAGUAAGUCAGAUGUGAAAACCAUGGGCUCAACCUGUUGCCUGCAUGUGAAACUGUUUUUCUUGAGUACUGGAGAGGCAGACGGAAUUCCUAGUGUAGCGGUGAAAUGCGUAGAGAUUAGGAGGAACACCAGUUGCGAAGGCGGUCUGCUGGACAGCAACUGACGCUGAGGCGCGAAAGCGUGGGGAGCAAACAGGAUUAGAUACCCUAGUAGUC
rnacentral:rRNA from 1 species